CACAUAAUGAAUAGAACUCCCAAGAAUCAGAGUGGGCAACUAGCAGAGCUUAAUUUCCUGCCAGAAGAAGAAGACAUGCUUGCUCUAUGGUUCCAGGUUCCAUGAAGUGAUAUGUUACAAGACAUAUCGAUCUGCAACAGAAUCUGAGCAUUUCUUUCCAGUCAGUGCUCAUGAAAAGGAAGUACAAAGAGUAAAGAGAGUUAAGAGGACCCUCUUUCCAAAAACCGAGUAAUGGGAGAAUCCAUUUUAAGACAGAACUUCAUGGGAAACAUAAGGUUGGGGUCCAGGGAAGAGAGACUACCCAGUGUGGAAGCCAAUAGCAUAAAGCACAGACUGGGAAAGAAGAUGACACAGGAGAGAAAGAAAGACUUAAUCAUAAUGAAAUGAUGCAACUCAUGAAUCCAACCAUGGCUGAAGACAUAAUUUUUCUGGAGGUUUCAUUGAUCAGCCAGCACAAAGGAGCCUGCUUUUCAGCCUGAUUAUUGGAGAGGGUGCGAGGUCCCAAGCCAGUUCAUGUCUCAGGUGAGAAAAUGGAAUACCAACUGUCACAGGACCAACUUGGAGUCAGAGAAUUGAAUACACGAAAAAGUGACGAAAGAGGAGAGUGAAACACAAUGAGCUAGAGAUACAGAUGAGAGGGAGACAUGGAUAAAAUACCGACAUGGGAAGUCUCUAAAACUACCUGGAAGAAAACAACAGCAGCAACAGCAACACAACAAUAAUAGGAAGCACCUGACUAUAUAGUUAAUUUUAUAUUUGGCAAUUCCAUUAUGUUUCUGGAAAUCACUAAUUUUUCCUGAGGACGAUAAGGAGGUAUGGGGCUUGCUUCUCCCAUUAUCCCUUCUCUUGAUGCUACAGUUCUUUAAUUUAUUACAUCAUCUUUUGUACUAGGGGCAGGUAGGACAUAUGUUAUAUAAUAUUCUUUACACUUGCCUUUGGGAAGAUCAAAUGUGUAUCUCAUAUGUUUAAAAAUCCUGAGCAUAGUGACAUUGUAUAUAAAGAUGCUCAGUACAUGUUUAUUGAGUAAUCCAUUGGAUAAAAAGUAUGUACAGGACUCAUAAAACCCUAGAUAAGCAUAUUUUUAAACCUGAUUAAGUAGAGAUUAUUUUCCAUUCUUAUUAUUUCCACAGUGUCAAACAUUCAGAAGUUUAAGGGGAUUUUUUUUUGCAUUUAUGCAACAGACAUAAUAGUUUGACUGCUUCUGUUCUCUACACAAAAAUUUUCAAAGCAUUCUAAUAAAUCCUGUGAAAGGUUUUGACCAUAAUGGUUUUUCAAAGCUUACACACAAAGAAACUCAGUUAAGACCAGGCCAUAAAUAAGACCUCAGUGCUGAAGCAGGGGA